rnacentral:rRNA from 1 species
UUCGGAUUCUGGGCUUAAGAGUUCGUAGGUGGUUGAAAAGUUGGUGGUGAAAUCCCAGAGCUUAACUCUGGAACUGCCAUCAAAACUUUUCAGCUAGAGUUUGAUAGAGGAAAGCAGAAUUUCUAGUGUAGAGGUGAAAUUCGUAGAUAUUAGAAAGAAUACCAAUUGCGAAGGCAGCUUUCUGGAUCAUUACUGACACUGAGGAACGAAAGCAUGGGUAGCGAAGAGGAUUAGAUACCCUCGUAGUCCAUGCCGUAAACGAUGUGUGUUAGACGUUGGAAAUUUUUUUCAGUGUCGCAGCGAAAGCGAUAAACACACCGCCUGGGGAGUACGACCCCAAGGUUAAAACUCAAAUGAAUUGACGGGGACCCGCACAAGUAGUGGAGCAUGUGGUUUAAUUCGAAGAUACGCGCAGAACCUUACCAACACUUGACAUGUUCGUCGCGACUUUAAGAGAUUAAAGUUUUCGGUUCGGCCGGACGAAACACAGGUGCUGCAUGGCUGUCGUCAGCUCGUGUCGUGAGAUGUUGGGUUAAGUCCCGCAACGAGCGCAACCCUCACUUUUAGUUGCCAUCAUUAAGUUGGGCACUCUGAAAGAACUGCCAGUGAUAAGCUGGAGGAAGGUGGGGAUGACGUCAAGUCCUCAUGGCCCUUACGUGUUGGGCUACACACGUGCUACAAUGGUAUCUACAACAGGAAGCGAAACAGCGAUGUUAAGCAAAUCCUCAAAAGAUACCUCAGUUCGGAUUGCACUCUGCAACUCGAGUGCAUGAAGCUGGAAUUACUAGUAAUCGUGGAUCAGCGUGCCACGGUGAAUGCGUUCCCGGGUCUUGUAGA